CGGACGGGUGAGUAACGCGUGGGUAACCUGCCUCAUACAGGGGGAUAACAGCUAGAAAUGGCUGCUAAUACCGCAUAAGACCACAGUACUGCAUGGUACAGUGGUAAAAACUCCGGUGGUAUGAGAUGGACCCGCGUCUGAUUAGGUAGUUGGUGAGGUAACGGCCCACCAAGCCGACGAUCAGUAGCCGACCUGAGAGGGUGACCGGCCACAUUGGGACUGAGACACGGCCCAG
rnacentral:rRNA from 1 species